rnacentral:rRNA from 1 species
GACAGAGGGUGCAAACGUUAUUCGGAAUCACUGGGCUUAAAGGGCGCGUAGGCGGGCCGCCAGGUCCGGGGUGAAAGCCUCCAGCUCAACUGGAGAAGUGCCUUGGAUACCGGCGGCCUCGAGGGAGGUAGGGGCGUGCGGAACUUCGGGUGGAGCGGUGAAAUGCGUAGAUAUCCGAAGGAACACCGGUGGCGAAAGCGGCGCGCUGGAUCUCUUCUGACGCUGAGGCGCGAAAGCCAGGGGAGCAAACGGG